CCGUAUUGGCGCAGUAAGGGUUUAUUAGCAAUAUACGAAAGAUAAGACAUAGGCAGAACCUUUUAACCUGUCAAAUUAAGUGCCAGCAGACGCGGUGAAACUUAAGGGUUUGUUUUUUAGAAAAAAGCAGAAAGCGUGUAAAGGUAAAACAUUUAAAAUAAAUAGAAUUUUUUUAGUAAUAGUGCAAUAUUAAAAGAAGAAAAAGAAUUUUUUAUGUGAAGACAAUUUAUUUUUUUCUUUAACACGAAGGUUCUGGGAGCGAACAGGAUUAGAGACCCUGGUAGUCGAUACAGUAAAAGAAAGUCGCUUGAGUAGUACGGUCGCAAGAUUAAAAUUCAAAAAACUUGGCUGUUCAUUGUUAUUUAGAGGAGCGUGUUGCUUAAUUCGAUAAUCCGCGAGUUACCUUACCAAAACUGGCUUUUUCAGGUGUUGCAUGGCCGUCGUCAAUUUAUGUUUGAUACAAUAAAUUAAAUCCUAGAAAGGUUGAAGUCAGGUAAAAUUGCCCUUAUGUUUUGGGGUUAAAUGCGCUACAUUUUUUUUUUAAUAAAAAAAAAGAGUUCGGAUUGUCUUUAAAAGAGGAUGAUUAAGUUGAAUUUAAUAGUAAUUGAAAAGUAGAGCGUUUCAAUGAAUUUGCCGCAAUGUUAGUACAAAUUGCCCGUCGCCUCUACUGAGGUAAACAAAGUAGAGUAAGUCGUAACAUGGUAAGGGAGAGGGAACACAUUAA
rnacentral:rRNA from 1 species